UGCGCCCUUACGGGAGGCAGCAGCAAGGAAUGGGCCGCAAUGGACACAUGUCUGACGGAGCAACGCCGCGUGCAGGACGACGGCCCUCGGGUUGUAAACUGCUUUUGGGUGGGACGAUGAUGACGGUACCACCCGAAUAAGCCCCGGCUAACUCCGUGCCAGCAGCCGCGGUAAGACGGAGGGGGCAAGCGUUGUCCGGACUCACUGGGCGUAAAGCGUGCGUAGGUGGUGCGAUGCGUCGGCGCUGAAAGCCGUCUUAACCGGGCGACGGGCGACGAUACGUUCGCACUGGAGGCAGGGAGACGUUGGUGGAAUUUCGGGUGUAGUGGUGAAAUGGUAGAGAUCCGGAGGAAUGUCGGUGGCGUAAGCGGUCAACGAGUUCUGACCUGACACUGAGGCACGAAAGCGUGGGGAGCAAACCGGAUUAGAUACCCGGGGAGUUCACGUCGUAAACGAUGUCGGCUAGGUGUGUGAUCGGGGUGACCUGAUGGUGUGUCGAAGCUUACGCGGGAAGCCGACCG
rnacentral:rRNA from 1 species